rnacentral:misc_RNA from 1 species
UCCAACUUAUCGCUGGCGGUCUCCUGCGAGUUCCCAACUGAAUGAUGGCAGCACAGGACAAGGGUUGCGCUCGUUGCGGGACUUAACCCAACACCUCACGACACGAGCUGACGACAGCCAUGCAGCACCUGUGUCCCUGUCCCCGAAGGGAAAACCGGAUCUCUCCGGCGAUCAGGGCAUGUCAAAAGGUGGUAAGGUUCUUCGCGUUGCUUCGAAUUAAACCACAUGCUCCACCGCUUGUGCGGGCCCCCGUCAAUUCCUUUGAGUUUCACCGUUGCCGGCGUACUCCCCAGGUGGAUGACUUAACGAUUUCUCUCAGCCGCUGACUGUGUAUCGCCAACAGCGAGUCAUCAACGUUUACAGUGUGGACUAC